rnacentral:rRNA from 1 species
GGAAGUCUGGUGCCAGCAGCCGCGGCAAUUCCAGCUCCAAUAGCGUAUAUUAAAGUUGUUGCAGUUAAAAAGCUCGUAGUUGAAUUUCGGGAUCAAUGGAUCGGUCAUGCCAUCGGUAUGUACUGGUCUCAUUGGUUCUCACCUUCUAAGGAACCAUGAUGUCAUUCAGUUGAUGUUGUGGGGAAUUAGGACUGUUACCUUGAAAAAAUUAGAGUGUUUAAAGCAGGCUAACGCUUGAAUACAUUAGCAUGGAAUAAUGAAAUAGGACAUCGCAUUCUAUUUUGUUGGUUUCUAGGAUCGAUGUAAUGAUUAAUAGGGAUAGUUGGGGGCAUUAGUAUUCAAUUGUCAGAGGUGAAAUUCUUGGAUUUAUUGAAGACUAACUACUGCGAAAGCAUUUGCCAAGGAUGUUUUCAUUAAUCAAGAACGAAAGUUAGGGGAUCGAAGACGAUCAGAUACCGUCGUAGUCUUAACCAUAAACUAUGCCGACUAGGGAUCGGAUGAUGUUGAUUUUUUAAUGACUCAUUCGGCGCCUUACGGGAAAC